GCUUGUGGCUCAGUUGUACAGCACUUGCCUAGCGUGUGUGAGGCACUGGGUUCAAUUCUCAGCACCGCA
rnacentral:tRNA from 1 species